rnacentral:rRNA from 1 species
AUACGGAGGAUCCGAGCGUUAUCCGGAUUUAUUGGGUUUAAAGGGUGCGCAGGCGGGAGAUUAAGUCGGCGGUGAAAUUUUGCAGCUCAAAUGUAAAAGGGCCUUUGAAACUGGUUUUCUUUAGUGUAGAUGGAGUAGGCGGAAUUUGUGGGGUAGCGGUGAAAUGCAUAGAUAUCACGAGGAACUCCGAUUGCGCAGGCAGCUUACUAAACUACUACUGACGCUCAGGCACGAAGGCGUGGGGAUCAAACAGGAUUAGAUACCCUGGUAGUCCACGCAGUAAACGAUGAUUACUAGCUGUUUGCGAUACAAUGUAAGCGGCUGAGCGAAAGCGUUAAGUAAUCCACCUGGGGAGUACGUUCGCAAGAAUGAAACUCAAAUGAAUUGACGGGG